UACGGGGGGGGUAAGCGUUGUUCGGAAUUACUGGGCGUAAAGGGCUCGUAGGCGGCCAACUAAGUCAGACGUGAAAUCCCUCAGCUUAACUGGGGAACUGCGUCUGAUACUGGAUGGCUUGGAUUCGGGAGAGGAAUGCGGAAUUCCAGGUGUAGCGGUGAAAUGCGUAGAUAUCGAGAGGAACACCUGCGGCGAAGGCGGGUUGCUGGGCUGACACUGACGCUGAUGCGCGAAAGCCAGGGGAGCGAACGGG
rnacentral:rRNA from 1 species